CUGCAUUGUUUGUUAAAGUUGCGUUCUCUUAGUUUAUUGUUUUUCUAAAGUUGUUUUGCAUAGUUGUAAUGAUAAUGGUAUCAUCUUCUUAGCAAAGGAAUCUGACUAGUCUCCUUUAUUCUUUGUAGUUGAAACUGACACAACUUAAUACCUUAAUAAUCUUAUUUGAGUUUCAAUCAAACGAGUUUAAGUUGCGGUGGCUAUGAACUGUUUGUGAAAAUGCCUUUGUGCCGGAAAAUUGGGGGGUAAGUCUCGAGAGUAAACUUGCCUAGUUAGUUUUGAAAAUAGUUUCUUAACGGGUUAUGGUGGCACGUUCUGUGAGUUUGAGGGUAUUUGUUCUUGUCAAACCUUUUUUUCUUUUCAAUUUCGGGGAACAAAUAUAGUAGCUCUCAAUGUCUUCAAAUUAGAAAAUGGUUGAUGUAAGUAGCACUGAGGUUGAUGUAAGUAGCACUUACCGAGUAGACAUGAACUUUUUGGCUCAUACGUAGAUUUGGCUACCAAUUCCCUCUUGAACUUUUAUGGGUAUUUGCUUCUUUAUGAAAAUUUUCUCAGACUUUGCUGCUUCCGGAAUGUACAUCCGCUUUGCUUUUUGUGUGGCCAAUUGCCUCUCCCAUGUUAGCGUGUUGUCUAUCAUUCAGGUUCUUCAUGAUGACUUAACGGAGUGGAAUAUAGAUAAUGGAACUAUUUCUGUUAAGAAGAAAACUGAUGGCUCAGUCAGGCUUGAUUCCUUGUUGGAGAAACACAUGGUGCUGCUCGUUCUGACUUUGACAAGGACUUGCAGUGUUACCGGGGAUGGUUUUCUCACCCAAGCAAUUUUAGAAGGAAUACACGCUGAAACAUAGUACAAUUAUUGGCCCAGUCACACUGAAGGUAAUGAUCAAUAUUUUUGACCUGUUAUUACUCCCUUGUUUAUCUGCGACAAUAAGAAAGAUGAAUGAGAAUAUAAGGUUGAUUUGGUGAUAAAAGAGGAAGGGACGGAGGAGGGGAUAUGCCGUUGGUUUGAAUGCUUCCACUAAUAAAAACUAGUAUUUGUUGAUAAAAGAUGGAUUCAGAUUCACCUUGUACAUUGGGAGCAGGAGCUGAAGGUGGUUGGGUGUUAAGAAGAUAGAACAUAUAAUCAUCAUACCGAAUCAAACAACUUCCAGACCAAAUAUUCCAUACUAGUUUUUGUUCACAGCAUUUGUGAAGUUCAGCUAGUAUGUCCUCCAAACAUUGUCUGCACACUUCAUUUGUGAGAUCUCUAGAGCAUUGCACCACGCUAUACCUACUCUCAGUGGCACUCAAAUUGAAGCCGUCCUUAUAAUACAACUGAACAUGCCAGGUUGGAUAUGUCAUAGCUUUCCCAAAGAAUUCUUCAUUUGAGUACCUUAUAAGGCAGUAAUCAUUCCACACCACAGCAGACACCCUAUUGGAGCAGAGCCGAGGGGUUUCUCUUGCAGCAGUGGAAAUACAAACUUGACAAAAGUAUCCAGCCAAGCCACCCCCACAAUAAUAGAGGCCGUACACAGAGCUAUUGUUGGAGCCUAUGGUGGUGAUGUUGUAACCAUUGCUUGUGCCUGAAUCUGAGGACAUCCAAGUCAGGAUUCUAUCAAGGUUGGUUUGGUAUGCAGUGCUGAGAGUUUGUUGGGCGGUGUUAUUGCAGCUACUUCCCAGGGACUUCCUCUGUGGCCGUUCUUCCAACUGAAAAUGCUGGGUGCCUGGGUUUUGGAAUGGCUACUGUGUCACUUGCUAGCAUUACCACAUCCGACAUGGUUGGUCUAUCUCUUGCAUCUUCUUGAACACACAACAAACCAAUCUGUAUGCACCUUUCUACUUCACUUCCUAUGAAGGAUUUUUCCAGCAUUGAAUCCAUCAAUUCCAAACAUUUUCCUUCAUACCAUGUUCUCAAAGCCUACACAAGUAUUUGUGUUUUUUUUUUUAAUAUUCUUAAGUCUUAGUUAUCUUAGCAUUGAAUAAUUUCACGACCACACUAGAGUGAAGACUUACAUAUACAAGAAGAUUUUGACCAUCUGACAGGUAGAAUCCACCAUUCUUUCUCCCAGAAAUGAUUUCUAGAACAAGAACUCCAAAGCUGAAAACAUCAGAUUUCACUGAAAAUAGUCCCUCCAUAGCAUAUUCAGGAGCCAUGUAUCCAUCAAUAUAAAUCAAUAAAGCUUUGGCAUUAUCUCGAGUCAAGGAACAUAUAGGAAAGAAUUUCGUUGAAAUACUAAAAUAUGCAGUGAUAGAUCUUACUGUUUCUGUUACAUGUAAAACUUACCAAGUUCCCAUUACUCGUUUUGUAUUUGCCUGGUUCUGUCCUACUUCAAAUGCCCUUGCCAAUCCAAAAUCUGAUAUUUAGGGAUUCAUGUCAUGGUCUAAUAGAAUGUUACUUGCUUUGAGAUCUCUAUAAAUUAAUCUGAGUUGAGAGUCCUCGUGAAGGUAUAAAAUACCUUUUGCUAUUCCACUGAUAAGGUUUGAUCUUAGUUUCCAAUCGAAUUGUUUUCUUUUCUCAACAUCUAACCACAACAACAAUUUUGACGGGUUUAGGCCAGGUUUGAUUGAAAAAAAAAUUAAAAUUUUAGUACGGGUCAAUUUUGAACUGAUCUAUUAAGAACCCGACUCAUCCGAAUUGAAUAUGUAAUGAGUCAAUUUUGUUUCUUAAUCACCUAAUUUUUUUUUUUGAUUGCUUUUGGAUUAUAUUUGAAAUUUAAAAUGAUUGUGGAUUGUAUUUUGAUUGUAUUAUAUUUUUUUAUUUUGAAUUCUUUGAAAUUUAACAUAAAAAAGAACUUGUAAAUAAGUGAGUUAAUAAACUAACCUAUUUAACCUACUAAGUCGUGAUGAAUUGGACCGAGUACCAAUUUAGUUGAUUCUAAGUUGUGUUGAAUUAUUAAGAGACUUACGUGUGGCCAAAGCAAGGUGACUUGUAUUUCCUGUGUUAAUUAAGAUGCAUUAUCAAAUUUUUAUAUAUUUUCAAACAAUGCAAUACAUUUAUGACACUUACAUCCUUUCUUUAUAUCUAUUAGAAAACACAAAAUCACUUCUGCAAAUUCAUUAUCAAAUUCUAAACAUUUUCCGAAAACUUCUCAGGUUCUUGAUGAUGACUUAACGGAGUGGAAUAUAGAUAAUGGAACUAUUUCGGUUAAGAAGAAAACUGAUGGCUCAGUCAGGCUUGAUUCCUUGUUGGAGAAACACAUGGUGCUGCUCGUUCUGACUUUGACAAGGACUUGCAGGGUUACCGGGGAUGGUUUUCUCACCCAAGCAAUUUUAGUAAUCAUGCCACACCACAGCAGACACCCUAUUGGAGCACAGCCGAUGGGCUUCUCUUGCAGCAGUGGAAAUACAAACUUGACAAAUGUAUCCAGUCAAGUCACUCCCACAAUAAUAGAGGCCGUACACAGAGCUAUUG